CAAUAGCGUAUAUUUAAGUUGUUGCAGUUAAAAAGCUCGUAGUCGGAUUGUGGCUGAGAACGAUCGGUCCGCCGUUAGGUGUGCACUGAUUGGUCUCAGCUUCCUGGUGAGGAGGUGUGCUUCACGGCCACUUAGUCACCGUGGUUACUUUGAAAAAAUUAGAGUGUUCAAAGCGGGCUUACGCUUGAAUAUAUUAGCAUGGAAUAACACCAUAGGACUCCUGUCCUAUUUCGUUGGUCUCGGGACGGGAGUAAUGAUUAAGAGGAACAGUUGGGGGCAUUCGUAUUUCAUUGUCAGAGGUGAAAUUCUUGGAUUUAUGAAAGACGAACUUCUGCGAAAGCAUUUGCCAAGGAUGUUUUCAUUGA
rnacentral:rRNA from 1 species